CCUACGGGAGGCAGCAGUAGGGAAUAUUGCUCAAUGGGGGAAACCCUGAAGCAGCAACGCCGCGUGGAGGAUGAAGGUUUUCGGAUUGUAAACUCCUUUUGUUAGAGAAGAUAAUGACGGUAUCUAACGAAUAAGCACCGGCUAACUCCGUGCCAGCAGCCGCGGUAAUACGGAGGGUGCAAGCGUUACUCGGAAGCACUGGGCGUAAAGAGAGCGUAGGCGGGAUAGCAAGUCAGAUGUGAAAUCAUAUGGCUUAACCAUAGAACUGCAUUUGAAACUGUUAUUCUAGAGUAUGGGAGAGGUAGGUGGAAUUCUUGGGUUAGGGGUAAAAUCCGUAGAGAUCAAGAGGAAUACUCAUUGCGAAGGCGACCUGCUAGAACAUAACUGACGCUGAUGCGCGAACGCGUGGGGAGCAAACAGGAUUAGAUACCCCUGUAGUC
rnacentral:rRNA from 1 species